ACUUUUCCAUGAUGACAUAAGUUAUCCCUGUAUGAAGGCAAAGAAAGGCCUCUCUGUGUAGAUGUUGGAUGUCUGAAACUCAG
rnacentral:snoRNA from 1 species